GUCUAUGGCCAUGCUACCCUGAACAUGCCCGAUCUCAUCUGAUCUAGGAAGCUAAGCAGGGUCAGGCCUGGUUAGUACUUGGAUGGGAGACCACCUAGGAAGACCAGGUGCUGUAGGUG
rnacentral:rRNA from 1 species